rnacentral:rRNA from 1 species
UGGGGAAUUUUGGACAAUGGGCGAAAGCCUGAUCCAGCAAUGCCGCGUGUGUGAAGAAGGCCUUCGGGUUGUAAAGCACUUUUGUCCGGAAAGAAAUCCUUGGCUCUAAUACAGUCGGGGGAUGACGGUACCGGAAGAAUAAGCACCGGCUAACUACGUGCCAGCAGCCGCGGUAAUACGUAGGGUGCAAGCGUUAAUCGGAAUUACUGGGCGUAAAGCGUGCGCAGGCGGUUUGCUAAGACCGAUGUGAAAUCCCCGGGCUCAACCUGGGAACUGCAUUGGUGACUGGCAGGCUAGAGUAUGGCAGAGGGGGGUAGAAUUCCACGUGUAGCAGUGAAAUGCGUAGAGAUGUGGAGGAAUACCGAUGGCGAAAGGCAGCCCCCUGGGCCAAUACUGACGCUCAUGCACGAAAAGCGUGGGGAGCAAACAGGAUUAGAUACCCUGGUAGUCCACGCCCUAAAACGAUGUCAACUAGUUGUUGGGGAUUCAUUCCUUAGUAACGUAGCUAACGCGUGAAGUUGACCGCCUGGGGAGUACGGUCGCAAGAUUAAAAACUCAAAUGAAUUGACGGGGUCAUAGCUG